rnacentral:rRNA from 1 species
GACGAACGCUGGCGGCGUGCUUAACACAUGCAAGUCGAACGGAAAGGCCCUGCUUUUGUGGGGUGCUCGAGUGGCGAACGGGUGAGUAACACGUGAGUAACCUGCCCUUGACUUUGGGAUAACUUCAGGAAACUGGGGCUAAUACCGUAUAGGAGCUCCUGCUGCAUGGUGGGGGUUGGAAAGUUUCGGCGGUUGGGGAUGGACUCGCGGCUUAUCAGCUUGUUGGUGGGGUAGUGGCUUACCAAGGCUUUGACGGGUAGCCGGCCUGAGAGGGUGACCGGCCACAUUGGGACUGAGAUACGGCCCAGACUCCUACGGGAGGCAGAAGUGGGGAAUAUUGCACAAUGGGAGGAAGCCUGAUGCAGCAACGCCGCGUGCGGGAUGACGGCCUUCGGGUUGUAAACCGCUUUCGCCUGUGACGAAGCGUGAGUGACGGUAAUGGGUAAAGAAGCACCGGCUAACUACGUG